ACCAGGUUGAAAUUAUCUUUACUUUUACGUUGAAAUGUCACCAAAUCCUGAUUUACAUUGUCUUCUAUGUGUUUAAUAUAUGUUUUAUUGUCAAUAUUCAUGCCAGUAUGUUGUAUUCAGGCCAUGGUGUUAAUACCUGUACUUUCACUUUAAGAGGUCGCAGGUUUUGUGACGUAAUUUAUGCGCUUCUCUCAGUUCGCGCCAGGCUGUCUGAGAGAAGGAGCUUGAGAACUGUAUGCUGUGUGGGAAAGACUGCAUGUGACGACAGCCUUAUGUGUUUUUUUGUUGAUUUGUACAGAACUAUCUAUGGAUCUCGCAGAGGAGACUAUUUUGCUGAAAGAAGUUAAGGAGGCAGUAUCAGAUAACAUUGUCCAGAUGUAUGCUGAGAUAGAGAGACACCUGUGGUGGAGAGAAAGCUGUGGACAUCUUGUGCGGCCCUCACACACAGAACAUAUGAGCAUCCAGGGACUUGCGGCAGCAGUUGUUAAAAUAGAUCUAAAAACAGUACCUGCACCGCAGCAGUUCAGGUGGAUGCAGACAUGACAAGCCUAGAAUAAGAUGUUUAGCAUGUGUAUCCACUCGCAAUGAAAUCACCAUUUGUUUAAGGUCAGUCACCUUCCACCGGCACUUUAUUGUGAUUGCGAGGGUUGCUCCAGAUGUGGUGCAGUGGUGAACUUCUCCUUCAUCUCGCUUUCUCCGCCUAUGCAACAGUUAUGAUGGCUAAUGAUUCAUCAUAUGACUCCAGCUUGCUUCCUAAUCUAGUCAAAUAAACCCAGCAUUUACAUUAUAAAUAUUGUUGACACUUCAACAAAUCACUUUUGUUCCUCUUCGUAAGUCGCUAUGCAUAAAAGUGACGAGUAUAUGUAUGAAUGUAAUGUGAAUGUAAAUUCUGAACUGAUCCUAAAUCCAACUGAUGACCUUAA